AGAGUUUGAUCCUGGCUCAGGAUGAACGCUGGCGGCGUGCCUAAUACAUGCAAGUCGAACGCACAGCGAAAGGUGCUUGCACCUUUCAAGUGAGUGGCGAACGGGUGAGUAACACGUGGACAACCUGCCUCAAGGCUGGGGAUAACACUUGGAAACAGAUGCUAAUACCGAAUAAAACUCAGUGUCGCAUGACACAAAGUUAAAAGGCGCUUUGGCGUCACCUAGAGAUGGAUCCGCGGUGCAUUAGUUAGUUGGUGGGGUAAAGGCCUACCAAGACAAUGAUGCAUAGCCGAGUUGAGAGACUGAUCGGCCACAUUGGGACUGAGACACGGCCCAAACUCCUACGGGAGGCUGCAGUAGGGAAUCUUCCACAAUGGGCGAAAGCCUGAUGGAGCAACGCCGCGUGUGUGAUGAAGGCUUUCGGGUCGUAAAGCACUGUUGUAUGGGAAGAACAGCUAGAAUAGGGAAUGAUUUUAGUUUGACGGUACCAUACCAGAAAGGGACGGCUAAAUACGUGCCAGCAGCCGCGGUAAUACGUAUGUCCCGAGCGUUAUCCGGAUUUAUUGGGCGUAAAGCGAGCGCAGACGGUUGAUUAAGUCUGAUGUGAAAGCCCGGAG
rnacentral:rRNA from 1 species